GUAUGACCAAAAUAUUAAAAAUGCACAAUGCUUUUAACUUAAAUGUGCUAACCCUAUUUCUUUCUGUUUUGUGCUAUACCUUUUCUGAUUCAGAAUUAUAGAAAACUUGAUAAUACUUGAUUUUAACCAAGGAGACUGGAGGCAAACGGGACUAAGUGUUUAAGCAACAACUAUAUACUACUUAGCUUAAAUAUAUUUUGUUAAUAGGAACAUUAAUAGAACAUUUUUAUGUAACAAAAUAUGGACAACUAUUAUCUUGGAAAUUAAAGAGUCGAAGCAAAGAAAUGAAGGGCUGGUAAAAUGAAUUUUGUAAUAUCCUCAGGAUACUUUUAAAAGUAUAUUGUUAAGAUUUUGUAAAUUCAUAAUUUUAAAUGUGUUAAGCAAGUUGCGAUGAAGACACUGUUAUUGUGUAGAGAGUUUAUGUGCACAUAAUAACCUGUACCUAUAAAUUGUGCAAUACGAUAUGUGACUAUUUGCCAUGGAGAAAUCUGUGAUGGCAUUGGAAAUGAUACUGUUGUUUGAUAUAGUUAAUCUUAAAUUAUUAUUCAGUAAUUUCUUCAUGAAUCAAGAUUCAAAAGGCUUUAAAUUUAAACACUUUCAGUGAGAUAGAAAAUUUAUGAUUAUGCUUAUUAGGAAAAAGACAUGGUGGAUGAAGAAUUAAGCAUUUUAAUUAAGGGUUUAUAUGAAUAAUAAAUUAUGUAAGCCCAUAUGUAUUUACAUCCAGAGUCAUAAUAUUUUAAAUAAACAAUCAUGCAGUGACUUUUUUUUAAGCAUGCUAUUGUUUUAAGUAAUAGUUAUGCCACUUUAGUUGAUUUCAGUAUAUGUGACAUUUUAAAUAGGAGAAUUUCUGUAUUUGUAUUUGGUUAAUGUAGGAAGAAUUACAUAAUUUUCCCAGAUUCCCUAUUGUUCCUUUUCUAUAGUCUUUUUAACUUAAUGAGUAAGCAUUAUGCAAAAAAGGUGAGAAUAAAAUGAUAAAGGUAGUUGGAAUGUAUACUUAAGUAAAAAAUGAUGUACAUAUAUGUAAAAUUUCAUCCACACUAAUGGAGUGGAUACAACAAAUUGCAGAAUUUCUCCAACUGGUCUCAACGAUCAGAACAAAGUACAGAGAUAUUCUUACUUAAAGAAAAUGCUUAUACAACAUUAGAGUGGCAGUGAUCUUUUUAUAACAGUGUUGACAACCCAGAAAGAUAUAUUUUACUAAACAAAAAGUUUAAAUGUUAUAUUGCAAGAGACCACAAUCCAAAGAACAGGUAGACAAGAAGUAUAUGUAUAGUAUAUAGGGAAAAUUUAAUGCUCCUAAAAUGAUAAAUAAUGGGAAAAUAACAACACCAAGCACC
rnacentral:lncRNA from 1 species